AUGUGCUGGCAAUGAACUGCCUGGCAUCUGACUCUCUAGCUUGAUCCAGACUGAUUAAGUCAGGGUGAAUCGAGUUUUCAUCCUCGCUUCUUCAUAACGAAUUUCCCCAACUGCCACGAUGCUUGCAAGAAUCCCUGAACUUGAGUAUUAGAAUCAGCAAUGACCCAAACCUGUGGAGCAUCCAGUGGGCAGGGUAGCAUUUCGAGGACAGUUGAAUGCUCAUAUAUAGCGCACCAUAUACACGGGGAGAGGCCAUCUGCCACGCUUUUGGAGGGACAUGAUCACAUUUGGGAAUUACACUAAGUGAAAUAGAAUGUUCAGAUUCCUGGAUUCUCACGAGUCAGGCUUCAGCUGGAGAACUUCGUGAUAGACACAAGUAGAAAUAAAUAAAACUACCAGGGUGACCUAAUGGGGACCCACUCAGGUCAACUGAGAGUUUGAGACAAUUUUAAGCAAGAUCCAGGUGAGAUCCUGAAACUGAAAUACUGAGCCAAAGAGCAGACUGCAGGUCUACGAGCUUAUGAUUGGACAGGAACAUGCAAUCAUCAAGCACAAUUAUAACCGAGGGCGGUUUGAGCUUUGCCAGAACCAGAUUCAAUGGAGAGCAAAAACUCAGACCAUCAACUUGAUCAAAGACACAUGAAAGAUGUGGAGAAAAUGAUCUUCAUUCUUACCAGUGGCUGAUGAAUAAGGAAAUAGAC